UGUAUGACGCUGGCGGCAGGCCUAAACAUGCAAGUCGAACGGUAACAGGAAGUGCUUGCACUUCGCUGACGAGUGGCGGACGGGUGAGUAAUGCUUGGGAACUUGCCUUUGUGAGGGGGAUAACAGUUGGAAACGACUGCUAAUACCGCAUGAUGUCUACGGACCAAACGGGGCUUCGGCUCCGGCGCAAAGAGAGGCCCAAGUGAGAUUGGCUAGUUGGUAAGGUAAAGGCUUACCAAGGCAACGAUCUCUAGCUGUUCUGAGAGGAAGAUCAGCCACACUGGAACUGAGACACGGUCCAGACUCCUACGGGAGGCAGCAGUGGGGAAUAUUGCACAAUGGGGGAAACCCUGAUGCAGCCAUGCCGCGUGUGUGAAGAAGGCCUUCGGGUUGUAAAGCACUUUCAGUUGUGAGGAAAAGUUAGUAGUUAAUACCUGCUAGCCGUGACGUUAACAACAGAAGAAGCACCGGCUAACUUCGUGCCAGCAGCCGCGGUAAUACGGAGGGUGCGAGCGUUAAUCGGAAUUACUGGGCGUAAAGCGCACGCAGGCGGAUUGUUAAGCUAGAUGUGAAAGCCCCGGGCUCAACCUGGGAUGGUCAUUUAGAACUGGCAGACUAGAGUCUUGGAGAGGGGAGUGGAAUUCCAGGUGUAGCGGUGAAAUGCGUAGAUAUCUGGAGGAACAUCAGUGGCGAAGGCGACUCCCUGGCCAAAGACUGACGCUCAUGUGCGAAGGUGUGGGUAGCGAACAGGAUUAGAUACCCUGGUAGUCCAUACCGUAAACGCUGUCUACUAGCUGUUUGUGACUUUAAGUCGUGGAGUAGCGAAGCUAACGCGAUAAGUAGACCGCCUGGGGGAGUACGGCCGCAAGGUUAAAACUCAAA
rnacentral:rRNA from 1 species